CAAACCACAUCAAGUCCUAACUGUUUAUAUUUUUUUAACGGCUUGAGGACAGAUCUCCUGAGAAGUUGAAUUAUUAUUCAAGGUUGAAGCUAUUGUUUGUUUUUUGUUUGGCCAAGCUCAACCCAGAUCACGUUCUGUUUUUUAAACAUUUAAAGCCCAGCCAUGCCAAAGGAAUUCAGUGGGAAAAGUUGAGACCAGUAACAAGUAUGGCAGCUGUUGUGGACAGAGGUUGCAGAAGUCUGGUCCACAGAGGGAAGGAACGGGUACUCUGGUGGUCCAAGGUUAAUGGUGGCUCGGAACAAAAUGGAUUCAGUGCCAGGGGCAUGCUGUCAGGUGAUUUGACAUGAGUGAAGGGGGUCCAUCCAUCUCCUGUUGGCCCCUUUGACCCUGGCCCUGACCAUUCUCUGCAGCUAGGAGGCGCCAGGUGUCAUGGUAUUCUGACCUGCCCAGGCCUUCGGUUAGCCUGCCUGAUGCCUAAAAACUCUGGGAAGAGAGUCCCUUCACUUUGACUGGCAAAUAAGAACGACAAACGUUAGAUAUUCCAUCCUACUCCGUGGUUUUCGUCAAACACAUCUCCAAACUCUCUAAUGGUGUAUAUUUCAUCACCUGGAAGCCUAAACUUAAUAUGACUUUAAUGCUCAUUCAGCCUAAAGACACAUUCAAGCAAAUACCAGGGUUCUCCGGGACAAAAACUACUUUGUAAAGUAACAAUUUGUGUGCGCUCCCUCCCCCGACACAGUUCCUCUUCAGGCAAAUUUAGCCUCUUUCUUUUUUUCUUUUUUAAAACCUGACAUAAAUUCCCUGUCACAAACCCCCAAGGGGCAGGCAGGCUUGAAGGCACAAAAGCAAAUAUUUCCGUUCCUGAUCGCAGCCAAUCCCUUUAAACAUCCACACCGGCUGACCACCCUCCUCCCCAUGGUUCCUGAACUAACCCCAGCACCCCAAGCUAACCAUUUGUCACAAAGUAAUUAUAGAAUUAUUGAUUCGCAAGCAAUUAACACCUUUCCUCUCUGUUCUUUUUUUUUUUUUUCGCCAGCGUCCUUCGUACUCACAUCCGCCCCGUCUUUUAAUUUGAACUCCUGGACAAAUAGAAUAAGAAGCUGUUGGAGUAACACAUUUAAUCCCGCUGGCAUUUCCUAAUUCUUCUCAGAUGAAUAGGGUGACGGGGACAAAACGGCUUUUCUAUUCCUCCCUCUGUUUCCUCUUUUAUUGUCCCCCCUCGUCUUCUAAGGCAGGAAUGCCUUUAAAGUAAUACCUAGCACCACUCAAGCUGUAGACGAAUAUAUUUGCCAUUAAACCUGAUUGUUGACGGAAACAUGCUUGCAACAUUCUCCCUACUCCUUGUGAUAAAAACGUCACUGCUGCUGAAAACCACCAAGCUGGAACAGUCUGUUCUUUUCCUGUUUGAUACUUUUUUUAACACCUUCCUCCUGUCCAGCUUUACAGCUGCUGCAGGUGGAAGUGGUCCAGAUGGACACGGAAGACUAAAAGUGUUAGAGCCUCCGGCUGGCAGGUGUCUGAGUCAGGUUGGAUGUCAUGGAACAUCACUGCAGCAACAUAUGGAUUGGGACAGAGGAAUCCAUUCCCCUUCUGAUAUCCUAUAUCCACCCAUAAGGGCAGUUGGGACUAAGGCAUAGAGAAGAGUGACUACCCUCGUACCUCUGGGAGUGUAGUUACACGGGAACAUUGUCAGGUAAAGUAGAGACACAAUAACCCAACUUUACCUGGAAAUACAAAAAGUACUCGGGGCAUCCUUUCCAGGACACACAAGAUGAGAAACAGGAUCUCUGAGCACUCCCUAGAAAUGCAAGAUGAGGAGUUGUCCUACUUAUUGGGAAGACAUUUAGGGAAGCAACAAACAACACAACAUGCUUUGAAGAAGCUCCUCAGCUCAACUGCUUCAUCAAAAGAAAAAAAAGGAACCUGCUGGGUGACUGAGAAUUUCUGUAACAAACAGUGGAGCAGGACUCAGAAGGCGGGAAAGCCGACUUAAUGACAGAAAAUUAUUUAAAAUGGGAAGUUAAGAAACAUGAGACAUGGAAGCUGAGCAUAACAGAUGGACAUCAGUCAGUGAUCCAACAAGAAACCCAACAAGGAAUUUUCCUUACACCCAAGUGAUGAAACAGAUGACUGCUGGGAAUAAUUAAGGAACAAGGACAAGAAGCUGCACUGAAACUGGAAGGAGAAGAAAAACCUGACAUAAAACAGACUAAAAACACCAGAACCAGAGUUCCAUCACCAAGUUUCACUCUAACAACGCCUUUUGGAAUUUGUGCUCUGUCUAGGUGGAUUUAUGUGUCCUUAAAUUUAGUGUCCGAGAAGUAUAGUAGUGGUCUUUAUCUACUUGGAUGAUAAACAAAAGCUAAAUCUAAGUCUUAUUUAUAUUAAUCGCCGUAAGAAAAUCAUUUAAAAGCAACUUUUUAAGACAGUAAAAAGCUGUGAAAGAGUUGGUCCUUUAGCGUCUCUUUUUUAUGCAUAUCAUGUGAGCAGUUUGAUGCUCUAAUCAUAAUUUGGUUCGUCAACUUUAGCAUCAUAGUAUAGAUCUGAACAAGGAUGUACAGUUUUUGGAUUAAAAAAAACAAACAAAAAUAAAAGAUACUGAUGCAUUCUAUAUCAUGUUAGCCUUUCCAGCAGUAAACGAUGUUCGUGAUAAUCGGGUGCAUAUUGUUAGACUAAACUAAAGAUUUGUGAUAAUGUUAUACUGCAAAAUACACAAUAAUCAAAUUAUUAUACUGUAGUAAAAUGGUUGAACUGCACAAUAUUUAGACACCAGUUGAAGGAAGUUGAAAAAAAAAAAAAA